UAGUCUUCAUAUUAACAGGAGGAGGUAAUACUAGUCUUCAUAUUAACAGGAGGUAAUACUAGUCUUCAUAACAGGAGGAGGUAAUACUAGUCAUCAUAGGAG